GAGUAAUUUCAAAUGUUGAUAACAAAAGAUUCCUAGAACAUGGACAACAAUUCAAAGUUCUUAAGUUAGGUCUAGAUCUUCAAAAUCUCCAUCUUCCCCUUCUUCAAUUGCUCGACCUACAAAAGACGAUAAAUAAAGUCAUUAUCCUUCAAGAGUUGGUUUAUUAUCAAGAGAAGAAGAGAUCACUACUGAUUCAGGUUCACUUUCAAGUAGAGCUCAAGCCCAUUUGGAACCAGAAUCUCCAAUCAGUACAAAAGCAUCCUUAGAACAAAAUUAAUUUCUGAUAACACAACAACAACAGCUUCAUUAACAUAUGUCAAGUGAUAAAAAUCCAAGAACUGGAAAUUUACAAACUAAACUAGUUUCCCUAGACUUCCAAGUUUCACCAGCAAGACCAGUCUCAAAAUAAUCACCACCCAAAAAAAGCUGCUAACAACUACCCUUGCAUUUAACAUCCUAACACCCUAUUAGAUCAAACACAACGUAAAUAACUUCUAAUCUUCAAGAAGCUAUAUAUCUGAACAUAAAGCAGGAAAGCAGGAUGCCAAAAUAAAGCAACAAAUACUGUAGUCAUAUACCAAACUCUAAUUUUGCGAAGAGUAGGUCUAAGAGGAGCAUUAUACAUGCUCAGUUCACAAAUUCACAUCAAUAUAUAUAAAACUACAACUAAUUGGUUAAUUGAAACAAGAGGUCCCAAAAAUACUAAGGAAUCAAAUAGUAGAUAUGUCAUAGGGUACAUAUGGUACAACAGACAAUUGUUUUGGUUUACCUGCUACAGUUGAGUGGAAUAGUUGACCACUUACUAGUAAGAAUAAGUCUUAACCUAAGAUAGAAUCAUGAAUUACUAGUAAGAAUUAAGAAAUGAUUGGGUCUGCAGUACUUUUUACAAAGAACACUUCACUUUAUCCAUAGUCGGAUAGUCCUGCUGCCAUUAUAUCUAACUUGAAUGGAAAAUAUAGGAUUGAAAUCAGAGUUUAGCACUAUGAUAGGGAUGAAAACCUUCAGAACUCCAAGCAAUACAACCCUUCAAAAAAGCACCUCAUCUACUCUCAAUGCUAUUGAUCAGACAAAAAUUAUAUACUUGAAGUUCUAAAAUAGGUCAAAGUGUCAACCUACUUGAUGUUCUAAAAUAGUACAAAGCCUCGUACUUCUAAUGUAGAGAUUAAAGACACAUGCAGGCAACACAUGAAUCAUCCUAUACAUUUGUUUUCCCUUCAACAAUAUGAAAGGAUCAGUACAUAUCUUUAGGCUGUUUAACCAUGUCUAAAUAUAAAAAUUAGAGAGCAAACACAUAUAAAAAGACAAUAAGAACUUAAUCAAGCAAAAAAAACUAAAUGCAAAAUAAAGAGAAAUAAUAGUAUCAGUCAAUAUUGCAAAUUGUUACAAAGUCACCAGUGGUAUAGACAUAGUUUCCUCACACAAACCAAUAGAAGUAAUUCUACUACAUUCACAGCACAUAUUUACACUAGUAAACAAGAGAGUAAUAUUAACAUUUACGAUUAAUCUCAGAGAAUCAUCUGAAGUCUAAUUUCAAUCGUCUUUCCAAAAUGAGAUAAUCACACAACAGUCAACUCUAAAUCAUCUAUUUAUUAUAUACGCACAACAGAAAUAUUCUUUCCAAAAUGAGAUAAUCAAAUAUAUAAGGGAGGGACGAAGCUGGCAGAAAACUAGACACUUUCUUGAUUAACAUAUAUAAGUUAGAUGAAGAAAUAACCUUAAAGAGAGAAGAAUAAGUUCAAGUGUAACCUUAGCAAAGCAGCAGAAGGAGGAGAAGAAGAAAGAAAGAAACAAAGAAAAGAAGGGGUGUAACAUUUGGAGUACGUACUGACCUUGAUUAUUACUCCCAGUAGAUGAACGAUUUUAGUUGCACAACAGCUUGCUGUGCAGAGGAAGCUUCUUCGGGUUAACGAGCAUUGAAUGCUAGCAUGCUGGGAUCAACCCGUAAAUCUGUAUUCAGAUGCUUAAGUUGUGAAAUGAUGUUAACUGCAACUUGUAGUUCCACGACAUCUUUUUGUG
rnacentral:lncRNA from 1 species